CCUACGGGAGGCUGCAGUGGGGAUUAUUGGACAAUGGGCGAAAGCCUGAUCCAGCCAUGCCGCGUGUGUGAAGAAGGCCUUCGGGUUGUAAAGCACUUUCAGUGGGGAAGAAAGCCUUGGGGCUAAUACCCUCGAGGAAGGACAUCACCCACAGAAGAAGCACCGGCUAACUCCGUGCCAGCAGCCGCGGUAAUACGGAGGGUGCGAGCGUUAAUCGGAAUUACUGGGCGUAAAGCGCGCGUAGGCGGUCUGAUAAGCCGGUUGUGAAAGCCCCGGGCUCAACCUGGGAACGGCAUCCGGAACUGUCAGGCUAGAGUGCAGGAGAGGAAGGUAGAAUUCCCGGUGUAGCGGUGAAAUGCGUAGAGAUCGGGAGGAAUACCAGUGGCGAAGGCGGCCUUCUGGACUGACACUGACGCUGAGGUGCGAAAGCGUGGGUAGCAAACAGGAUUAGAUACCCGGGUAGUC
rnacentral:rRNA from 1 species